UAAAUGAAAACAAGUUUUAUUAUAAAGGACCUUUACAUCGGGCCAGCUCCUCCAUUGAUGUGAAAUCUUAAAUACAUUUUUUAAUUUUCGCAAAAACCCUAGUCUUCUCCGCGGGACCACAACCCGUCCAUUUCCUUAUUUUUUUCUCUGCGCGACCACAAACCCAUUUCCUUCCGCCGUUUCUGACUGUCUUCUCCGUGUGACCAUCGUCCCUUUGUUCCUGCCGUCAUCUCUGCGUCCUCAAACCCUCCGUUUUAUUCUUCAAGAUUUCGCCGUAACGACAUGACCGGAAGCGUCUUCAAGAGUUCGCCGCCGUGAACGAUUCUGACUCGAGCCCAGGUUAAACAAACUGAAGCUAUAAUUUUAAGCUAUAAUUUUAAGCUAUAAUUUUAAGAAGCAAUCAAGUUGAACAGAGGGAGGAUUUUUCAUGAAUCUGGGCUCCUACCAUGUAUCAACACCAAGAUUGUAGUUUUAUUGGACACUGAUGGUUGGAAAUUGCUGCUAACAAAGAUGAUUUUCCUCAAAUGAUUAGCUUUGAUGCUAAAACGUUUCUAGCUGCAAGGAUAGUACAAUUACAGGUGAGGAUCUUGACAACUUUGUUGCCUUUAAAUCUCACAUUUUCAUCUUUCUAUGUUACCUCUAUUUGUUGCUUUUUGAAAAUAAAAUCACUCCAUUGAUUUCCUGCAUGCAAGUUGCAUAUACUCACAUGGUAGUCUUAUUACUAUUUACAUGUCUUAUCUAUCAUUUAAAAAAUUGUAUGUUUGACCUUCCAAUGGAGUAUUACUAAAACAAGUGAAAAAGUAUGUAGCCUUUAUGCAUUGAAAAUGAAUUAAAAAUAUAUGCAUGUUCUAGCUAGUUGAUGUUAAGAAUAGAAUUGCCUGAGAAAAAGAUGAGAAAAAAAUAGAUAGGAAAGAAGAGAUAUUAGUGGAUUAGCUUUAUUGUAGAAGAUAGAGAGAAUUAUAAUAAUUAAAAUUGAUUUAUGGUUUCUUGACUUUGAAGUAAACUUCUAUGCAAUGUUGUCUUUUGUAUAUAGCUAAAUAUGCAAAAGCUUUGUUCUCUUUUGGUGUUUUUCAUUUUAGAAGUGUAAGAAUAAGUGAAGUCUGAUAUUGUCUCUUCCAGUAUAACUGAAUCUUGGAUGCAGGUAAUAAAAUACUUUAAUUUGUUAUUUACUUUGCCUUUUACAACUUAAUGUGAAUUUUCAAAGAAUAACUCUAUAUUGUUAUUUACAUAUUGUAGGUAUUUGAUGAUCCUACAGAAUUAACACAAGAUGAUUUGUAUGAUUUGUGACUCCGUUGGGUAAAAUGUUUCUUUGAGUUAUAUAAAGAUUAAGCUUUAUUUGCAAAUGUAAUUUUGGUGUUGUCUUCAGAAGCUACAACUCAUCUUUUCGUGGAUGCAUGUUGGCAUUUCAAGUGCGCUAAAGGACUUAAAUGGUUGGAUAUAUGUUGUUUUGUUAUUUUGUAGUAGUCCACCGUGUGUAAACUUUCUUAUAAUUUUGUACACUUGUGUAUCCUAGAUUAAUACUUUUGUAAAUUUUGAAGAAUAUAUAUGUAUCUUAGCUAUUUGGUGCAAUGAAAUCAUAUCCUUCACUGGUUUUAGAAAAAUAUGAAAAUAGUGACCUAAAUGUCGUCUGUGUGCUGUGGGAAAAAUGUGUAAAAUAGCGACCUAACUUUGGUUUGUGUGGUAUUCAAAACUUAUAUGGAAAAUUAGGUACAAAAAAAAUUACAGGUUAAAAUAGGAAAAAUAAUUAUAAUACUCUUAAAAGUAGAAAACAUAUUACUUCGGGCAAAAUGGAAAACCGAUG